UGGGGAAUAUUGCACAAUGGAGGGAACUCUGAUGCAGCGACGCCGCGUGAGUGAUGAAGGAAUUCGUUUCGUAAAACUCUGUUCUAUGGGAAGAAAAGGAUUGUACCAUAGGAGAAAGCUCCGGCUAAAUACGUGCCAGCAGCCGCGGUAAUACGGAUGGAGCGAGCGUUGUCCGGAAUUAUUGGGCGUAAAGGGUGCGCAGGCGGCUGUACAAGUUGGAUGUGAAAUAUUGUGGCUCAACCACAAACGUGCAUCCAAAACUGCAAAGCUUGAGUUAAGGAGAGGUAAGUGGAAUUCCUGGUGUAGCGGUGGAAUGCGUAGAUAUCAGGAGGAAUACCGGUGGCGAAGGCGACUUACUGGACUUAAACUGACGCUCAGGCACGAAAGCGUGGGGAGCAAACAGG
rnacentral:rRNA from 1 species